CGCCAACUUACUAUCAACAAAACGUAAUUUAGUCGCACUGACGAAGGAAGACCAAGCAGGCGAAAAACGAAAGAACGAGAUAUGGUGACGUCGCCGUCGGAAGGUUUCGGCUAACGUCGGUCAUUUCCGGCGGAUCAAGCGGUCGAGUGACAAAUGGGGAGCUACAGUACAUGGGAGUUCAAAAGUUCACUGUGUUCGCUGGAACUACAUGGGAAAAACAGUUAUCAAGUAAAAACAAAACAUUUUUAAAAAUGAA